UACGUAGGGGGCAAGCGUUGUCCGGAUUUAUUGGGCGUAAAGAGCGUGUAGGCGGCCUGGAAGGUCAGCUGUGAAAACUCGAGGCUCAACCUCGAGACGUCGGUUGAAACCACCUGGCUAGAGUCCGGAAGAGGAGAGUGGAAUUCCCGGUGUAGCGGUGAAAUGCGCAGAUAUCAGGAGGAACACCGAUGGCGAAGGCAGGUCACUGGGCCGCAACUGACGCUGAGGAGCGAAAGCAUGGGGAGCGAACAGG
rnacentral:rRNA from 1 species